CACGUAGGGGGCGAGCGUUGUCCGGAUUUAUUGGGCGUAUGGAGCUCGUAGGCGGCUCAGUAAGUCAGGUGUGAAAACUCCAGGCUCAACCUGGAGACGCCACCUGAUACUGCUGUGGCUAGAGUCCGGUAGGGGAGCAUGGAAUUCCUGGUGUAGCGGUGAAAUGCGCAGAUAUCAGGAGGAACACCAGUGGCGAAGGCGGUGCUCUGGGCCGGAACUGACGCUGAGGAGCGAAAGCGUGGGGAGCAAACGGG
rnacentral:rRNA from 1 species